GCUGUUUUCAUGAUUUCAUCAUGUUUUAUAAGAACACAAUAUCAGGAACAUCAGAACAUAAAAAUUAUUAAAAGAAAUAAAAAUAAACCAAGAACAUUUCAACCAUCAUCCCAGGGAAGGACAAGAAACCAAGGACAGCCAAACCGUCAUACCGAAACAGAAAAGAUGAUACCCAUAAGGAGAUACGCCCCGCUUUGAACACAUAAGACUCGUCUAGGAACUUUGUCGUGAGCGCAUUUGUGUCUUUACCAUAACACUUGUUUCUUUCAACUUGUGCCCUGAACGUUCAGUAAAACAUCUUGCAAGAA